UGAAGGAGCGUAUAUAGAUAAGAAACACAAAUAUCUGCAGCUGCAUCUUUACAGGAAGUCACAUGAUUUAGAGGAAAGGAGGGACAGAAUAAAGUCCAGUGAAGAGGCAGUCUGCUGCAGUCAGCCGGCUGAGUGAACACAGAGAGUUUACAGUCAGUCUGUCUUUAUCUGCGAACUUUAUUGAGAGACAACAGGACGUCUCUACGAACUUUAUUGAGAGACAACAGGACGUCUCUACCAACUUUAUUCAAAGACAACAGGACGUCUCUACCAACUUUAUCCCACCAGAACUCUCACCAGCAGGCCAGAAACUCUUGACUUUCUCUCACAGGUGUUUCUGAUUGGACCAUCAGGCAGAAACCUUCAUCAUGUCUUUCUGCGAGGGAGUGACAGUGUGUCCUCGCUGUGGCGGCAUGCAUGUAUCUGCAUCUGUAAGACAUCGUCACAGUGACAUAUAAACAUUAUUAUUAAAGGAGCAGUCUGUAAUUUUAGAGAAGAAAUUCAUAUUUUUAUAAAGUUGUAAUAUAUACAAAAUUAAUGUGGUAAUAGUUGCAAAUGUGUCAGAGUCAAGCAGUGACACAUUUGUGAAUGAUCCCCAACCCUGCUAAUGAUGAUGAUAAUGAAUCAAGUAUUGAUCUGUUGACUUUUGAUCUUCAUCAUCAGCCUCUGAUGGGAGCUGUUGGAGCGGCGUUGGGUCUUGCUGUUACUGGUGCUGGUGCGGCUGCAGCGAACAAAUCAAUUGGAGGUUUAACUGACAACAUACGAGGGACACUGAGGACACUGGACAGCAACAUGACAAGACCACUUGAGGAUUUGGCAGAAGUGAGGCGCAUCAUUGAAAGCAGCGACAGGAGUGAUGAGGAAAACCAGCGAUUGAUGGUGUAUAUAAUAAAUAAGUGUCCGAAUGCAGAGAUCAAGGAAAGUCUGAAAGAAAAUUUUCAGAGUUUGGUCAUCCUUCCACUUGUAGACAUGUAUAGGUGCCUGGUAGAAGAGUUCAAUAAGAAAGAGAAGCUAGACAAAGAUUUCGACAUCAUCUUUGUGGCGCACGGAGAAAUUGAUUCUUUCAUGUUCUCAGCCAACUACCUCAUGCCUCUGCCCUCCAUCAGAGAUGUGGUCCUGUAUUCUCCCUGGAACUGUGCUAUUAAUGCUGAUGUAGCGUACGGUGUUGCUACAGGAAGUAUACAGCCUCAUCACAGGGUCUUCUUCCGUAUUCCACAACAAGGCUGUCCAGUUCCUGAUUAUGUUGAUCCGCCGGACAAACUGCCCAAUGACUGGAACUCAAUGAGUGAAGCUGGAGGAUCGAGGAUCCCGAGGAUCCUUCUCAGCCCUCUGAAGGAUCCAAACCAGAAACCAGAGGUACCAGGGGAGAAACCAGGGGAUCCUGCAUGGAAUCAUGUUGUGUUUCUCCAAGAUAGACUUGGUGAACCUGGGAGAAAUCGUGUCCUCAUCCCGUUCACUCAUCAACCAUGGACUGAUUUCGCUAAAAAAAUUCAAUUCUUUGACAAAACGGGUUCCUUUGACAAAAUCCCAUUCUGGAUCGUCACUUUGGUUCUGUCAGUGGUGCUGGAAGUCUGCGGCUAUAGGGCCACCGUCCAUCUCGCUGCCUGUCUGGAUAGAUCUGAAGAAGAAUUCCUGAAUGAGGCUGAGCUGCAGUAUGGAUACACUAUCGACAACACAAUGAUGGGAUCGUCAGAGGAAAGGAUCCAAUCAGAGAAUAGAAAACCCAAAGUGCACGACGCCAUGUACAAAUUCUUUAAAGAUAUGUUUGGUUAGAGAUCUUCUGUGUUUGUGUCGUUUCAGUGUCCAAACUGAGCAAAACACAGUGUUGUGGGUGGAGUGAUGAAGAGUUAAUCAAUCAAUCAAUCAGUCUUUAUUUGUAAGGUGCCAGUUCACAACAGUAAUCUUGUGACACCUAUGUGUCAGUUUUAGCCUGCUAGCUAUUUUUAACAGUUCUUGUCCUUGUGAUUGAAAUUACUAUGAAAUAUUAAUAAUUAUAUGACUACAUUUAAAAGUUCAUAACAACUGAUAAAACAUGUUAUUCUUCAUUUAUCUGACUUAUUAUUACGUAGUGUUGUGUCGGAGUCUGUUUCCUGUGGCUUUGUCUGGUGUGUUGAUCAGAGAUGUGGUUUAAAGUUUCAGUCGGUAGAUUUUCCUCUUACAGAUCUUAUGGGGGCGUUCAGACCAAUCAUGAGGUGAAUCAUUCGUCAAAGAAAAGAUGCAAAUUCAUAAACAACAUUGGAGGCGAGGAUAAUAGUGGCUGUUUUCAGACACCCAGAGCUGUACAAUAAAACAUCUAAUCGUACUGAGACAGGACAAAAAAGGAGCUGGUGUGGAGGGAAAGUAAGCGAGGAAGUGAGACGACCUGGUAAGUCAUGGAUAUUUGUCUCAGCACAGCGUCGCUCUGAUCGAUCUGAACUCUUUUUUGGUUUUGGUUAAUUGUUUAAAUUGGUGUUUUUUGUGUGAUGACGUAAGAUAACUAUAUCAACCAGUCUUUUAUAUCUUAAUACUUUAAUAUCAGCUGUAAUAUCUUGUAUCAGAUUGCAGGUCUGUAUUUCUGACCUACAGAACGAUUGUGGAACAUUUGGUGUCACUGAGACGUUGUUUGUCUGUUGAUGGACGGCGUUGUUCUCGUGUCCAGUCUGGAUUACAUCACCACCUCGCUGAGUCCAUCAGACUGGCUCACUACAGACUUUUCUUUACUACUUUAAACAGUCAGAAUCACACUGUGGCCUGAUGGAGUCACUGUUCAUUGUUCAGCUUGAUUUGGUGUUCAUUCAGUUGGUGGCAGAGUCAUCCCUCACCAACCACACCUCCUGUCGUACUGAAGUCCUCCUGUUGAGUCUGGACUUUAAGUGUUAAAGGAAGUGUAACCUGAGGGCAGGUGGAACACAACGACCUGCAUGUGUUCUGACUGCACUGCUGCACUGUUGCACAGCAGGAUGUGAGGAACCUGCAGCACUUGUUGUUUAACAUGUGUCGCUCAAACUAUGUACGAGCUGUUUAACACCUUCCUGACAGUCUGCUGACACCUGAAUCUAUGCACCCAUUUUAUUUAAACUUCAUUGUUUGUACUUGUUCUACUUUCUAUCUAUAGUUUUAUCAAAAUGAAUUGUGGCCUUUAAGAUGAUGUGAAGGUUUAAGAGAGAGACUGAGAGGAAGAUCCAGGCUCUGUCUCUGGUCUUGGUCUUCUGUCUGAGCUGUUUCACCCUUUGACCUUGUUGGCUGUUGAUUUUAUACUCCUGUACUUAUACUUAUACCUUUAUACUUUUAUUUUCUGAUCUUCAAACCCCCAAAAACUGUAAAACCUGAAUAAAACUGGGUUGUAUGUUGUACAUCCCAACCAAAGUCUUUUUGUUGGCUCCUCUCUCUGACGUCAUGUGACCAGUUUAUUGUAUUAUUAAUUACAUUAAGAUAUUAAAAACAAGUCGGAGGACAUCAAGAAACAAAACAUUAAAGCAAGUUCAACAUAUAAAAAUAAGCUAUGAUAAAAAAAAGAAUAAUAAUAAGAGACAAGACAAUAAAAAAGUGCAGUUCUGAAUGCAGCUUUGACUCCCUGUGAUUGGCCGACAGUAGAGU
ensembl:lncRNA